rnacentral:lncRNA from 1 species
UCCUUUCUUUUUUUGAGGGAAUCAACGGUGGUCAUUUUGUUUUCAAUAAAGGCAAUUACCAUAAUAUAUCCUCACUUAACUUUAAUUUAUCCUUCCAACUAUUUUGAUUCAAGAGUCGUGAAUAUGUAUAGUGUAGACGAAACGCUCCUCUGCAAUCUCUUGCGCAGAGCUCACAUCCGUUCUGUUCUUAAUUCGUAUCGCUACACUGAAAUAUGAAGUGUACUGUACUGAGAGUAGAAAACGGAAACGAGCGGUUCACGGAGAGUGGCCCCUCUGGUGUUUCAAAUAUAAACCGGGUAUCUUUGGUGAAUUUUUUUUAUCAUAACAGAAUUCUAUUUCUUGAUUGCGCUUAUCAAUUAGUAACGACUAGCUUCGUCGUUGUAUAACGUUUUUAACAGAAAACAAGACCCUGUAAAUACGGUUUAUUUUUAUCUUCGACAAAAUUGAAUCACACAUAACACAUGUAUCUCUGUCAUAGGUCCUGCAUGACAAAUAAUUUAGGUAGUCGGUCCAUCUAACAUAUAACUGGUUUCUGUGUGUAACUUGUUCGUCACACAUGCAUCUCGAUAAAAAUUACAGCUCUGUAAAUUCCGUUUGAAUAUUUUCUUGAUAUAGUAAUUUUAGCUUAUAACAAGUAGAUUUAAUUAAAGCAACUGAUUUUAGUGUGAACGUCAGGAAGACUAAACAAGAAGUACGCGUGUGAUAAAACCUUUUGAAAAUUCCUUACAAAUAUAAAAAAGAAGAUGUGGUAUGAUUGCCAAUGAGACAGCUAUCCACAAAAGACCAAAAUAACACAGACAUUAACAACUAUAGGUCACCGUACUGCCUUCAACAAUGAGCAAAGCCCAUACCGCAUAGUGAGCUAUAAAAGGUCAAGAUAAGACAAUGUAAAACAAUUCAAACGAGAAAACUAACGGCCUUAUUUAUGUAAAAAACUGAACGAAAAACAAAUAUGUAACACAUAAACAAACGACAACCACUGAAUUACAGGCUCCUGACUUGGGACAGGC